AAUGACGGAGAUGCGGCGCUCGUCGAGCUGGAUCGUGCCUGGCGCACGAAUGAGGGUUCGAAUGACGCGCGAUGUUGCGGGUUCGGAGCUGACGCCGGUACGCUGGAUCUUCCCUGGCGAAAGCUUCACCGAUCCAUCGUCGCUGUCGUCACCGUCAUAGACCGGGAUGUAAUCCAUCCCCAUCGAAUCCUUUUUCGGCGUCGGCGAGGUGUCCGGCAGUCC
rnacentral:misc_RNA from 1 species